rnacentral:misc_RNA from 1 species
UUGAUAAGCGUGAGGUCGGAGGUUCAAGUCCUCCCAGGCCCACCAAUCACACUAUGCUGAAAGCUCCUAUGAUUGAUCGCUUUUUGAAUAAGCCCUUAAAGGAAAUUUAUGAUCUUUUAUAAAACUUUUUCCCUUAUAAAACUUUAUAAAACUUUCUUUAUGAAACUUUAUUGUCUCAGAGCAUUCAGAGAGAGUAUGAUAUAGCACUCAGAAUAUGAUACAGAAAACAGAGUAUGAGAUAUAAAGAACGUCACCUCUGAAAUUGUUUUUUUAUCAUUUUAAAAGUCUAAAAUAUUCUGUCUCUAUUUUUAAUUUUUAAAAAGCAUCAGAUGUUUUGUAAAAGUGCGUCGUUUUUUAUAGAGCAUAACGUGAAAGCAUUUUAAACUAUUUUAGGGGCCGUAGCUCAGCUGGGAGAGCACCUGCUUUG